AUGCCAACAACUUGUGCGCAUUGGACCUCUCCGACCUUGGCAGGGCUCCCAAGUUGCUGCAUGACUGGCAGGUCCUCGACAGGCCUCAUGGAUGGGUGCAGAAAAGGGGUAGCCUGCUGUACCUUGGCGCCGGCAGGUUUUGCAUCUUUGGAAAAUUUGACACCGGGGAGCAAGAUGAUCAGGGUAAUCCCAGCAACACGGCGGCUGUGCUCACCGGUGUGGAGGUGGUACUCGAAGGGUCAUCUGAACUCCAAAUGA
rnacentral:rRNA from 1 species